GCCUGGGUGGCUCAGGCGUUAAGCGCCUGACUUCAGCUCAGGUCAUGAUCCCAGAGUCCUGGGAUCGAGUCCCACAUCAGGCU
rnacentral:tRNA from 1 species